rnacentral:rRNA from 1 species
GAUGAACGCUGGCGGCGUGCUUAACACAUGCAAGUCGAACGGUGAAGCCAAGCUUGCUUGGUGGAUCAGUGGCGAACGGGUGAGUAACACGUGAGCAACCCGCCCUGGACUCUGGGAUAAGCGCUGGAAACGGCGUCUAAUACUGGAUAUGAGACGUGAUCGCAUGGUCGUGUUUGGAAAGAUUUUUCGGUCUGGGAUGGGCUCGCGGCCUAUCAGCUUGUUGGUGAGGUAAUGGCUCACCAAGGCGUCGACGGGUAGCCGGCCUGAGAGGGUGACCGGCCACACUGGGACUGAGACACGGCCCAGACUCCUACGGGAGGCAGCAGUGGGGAAUAUUGCACAAUGGGCGAAAGCCUGAUGCAGCAACGCCGCGUGAGGGAUGACGGCCUUCGGGUUGUAAACCUCUUUUAGCAGGGAAGAAGCGAAAGUGACGGUACCUGCAGAAAAAGCGCCGGCUAACUACGUGCCAGCAGCCGCGGUAAUACGUAGGGCGCAAGCGUUAUCCGGAAUUAUUGGGCGUAAAGAGCUCGUAGGCGGUUUGUCGCGUCUGCUGUGAAACCCCGAGGCUCAACCUCGGGCCUGCAGUGGGUACGGGCAGACUAGAGUGCGGUAGGGGAGAUUGGAAUUCCUGGUGUAGCGGUGGAAUGCGCAGAUAUCAGGAGGAACACCGAUGGCGAAGGCAGAUCUCUGGGCCGUAACUGACGCUGAGGAGCGAAAGGGUGGGGAGCAAACAGGCUUAGAUACCCUGGUAGUCCACCCCGUAAACGUUGGGAACUAGUUGUGGGGACCAUUCCACGGUUUCCGUGACGCAGCUAACGCAUUAAGUUCCCCGCCUGGGGAGUACGGCCGCAAGGCUAAAACUCAAAGGAAUUGACGGGGACCCGCACAAGCGGCGGAGCAUGCGGAUUAAUUCGAUGCAACGCGAAGAACUUUACCAAGGCUUGACAUAUACGAGAACGGGCCAGAAAUGGUCAACUCUUUGGACACUCGUAAACAGGUGGUGCAUGGUUGUCGUCAGCUCGUGUCGUGAGAUGUUGGGUUAAGUCCCGCAACGAGCGCAACCCUCGUUCUAUGUUGCCAGCACGUAAUGGUGGGAACUCAUGGGAUACUGCCGGGGUCAACUCGGAGGAAGGUGGGGAUGACGUCAAAUCAUCAUGCCCCUUAUGUCUUGGGCUUCACGCAUGCUACAAUGGCCGGUACAAAGGGCUGCAAUACCGUGAGGUGGAGCGAAUCCCAAAAAGCCGGUCCCAGUUCGGAUUGAGGUCUGCAACUCGACCUCAUGAAGUCGGAGUCGCUAGUAAUCGCAGAUCAGCAACGCUGCGGUGAAUACGUUCCCGGGUCU